GCUCAUCAGUUCGGCAAGUCUCGGCUGUGUUCGGCUGAUUCCGCGAGUAACAAACGCUCCACCAUUUUGCAUAGUUACGCGCGUGUUGAAGGCUCCCCUGCUCCUGUGAUCAGUAUCACACCGUGAAGAACGUUUUCCCUGCAAUGGACGGCAUUGCAAGUGAUGUUGCAGUUGGUGUGAAGAGAAGCUCAGAUGACUUGCUGUCUGGCAGUCUGUACAGUAGUCCAAAUUCUUCAGUCACUGCUAAUGGAAGUGACAGUAAAAAACUGAGGGUGGAGGACAGCAUGGACAGCCCACCAUCAAGAGUUAUUCAUAUCCGUAAACUCCCCAAUGAGGUUUCUGAGACUGAGGUCAUCGCCCUGGGAUUGCCCUUUGGAAAGGUCACAAAUAUACUAAUGCUUAAAGGCAAAAAUCAGGCAUUUUUAGAGCUGGGAACCGAGGAAGCAGCUGUUACCAUGGUGAACUACUACACAGCUGUUACACCUCAAGUGCGUAAUGUCCCAGUGUUCAUUCAGUACUCCAACCACAAAGAGCUCAAGACAGACAGUGCACUCAACCAGCGAGCUCAGGCCGUGCUGCAGGCGGUGUCAGCUGUCCAGGAGGGCGGCUCUCCAAGCUCGGACAUGGCCAGCAAGAGUGUGUUAACGCCUGCCCCCAGCCCAGUACUGCGAAUAAUCAUCGACAACAUGUUCUACCCAGUCACCCUGGACGUCCUCCAACAGAUCUUCUCCAAGUUUGGGACGGUCAUGAAGAUAAUCACGUUUACCAAAAAUAAUCAGUUUCAGGCUCUUCUGCAGUUCAGUGACCCAGUAAAUGCCCAGCAGGCCAAACUGUCCUUGGACGGCCAGAACAUUUACAACUCUUGUUGCACUCUGCGCAUUGACUUCUCCAAGCUGGUCAACCUGAAUGUAAAAUACAACAAUGACAAAAGCCGGGAUUAUACCCGACCCGAGCUGCCAGCGGGAGAUGGCCAACCACCAGUGGACCCGUCUAUGGCCGCCGCUCUCAGCAAAGAUUCCCCCUCCCUGCUUGGUACUCCCUCUGGAAUGGUAACUUCCUACUCUAGUGGUGGAGGGUUUCCAUCUUCUCUAGGGGCCAUCAGCCCUCUGAGCGCAGCAGCGGCGGCAGCAGCAGCAGCAGGGAGGGUAGCGUUGUCCGGUCAUUCAGUACCUGGCGGAGUGCUACUGGUCAGCAAUCUCAAUGAUGAGGUGUCUACGGUGACGUGCAACGCGUGAAAAUCCUUUACAAUAAGAAGGACAGUGCUUUAAUCCAGAUGUCUGAUGGAAACCAGGCCCAGUUGGCCAUGAGCCAUCUGAACGGGCAGAAGAUGUAUGGCAAGAUCAUUCGUGUGACCCUUUCGAAGCACCAGACGGUACAGCUACCCAGGGAAGGUUUAGAUGAUCAGGGCCUGACAAAGGACUUCACUAGUUCUCCACUGCACCGCUUCAAAAAGCCUGGCUCUAAAAACUUCCAGAACAUCUUCCCCCCUUCAGCUACACUUCAUCUCUCUAACAUACCUGACAAUGUGACAGAGGAGGAUUUACGACUGCUCUUCUCAAACUCCGGCGGUACAGUGAAAGCGUUCAAGUUUUUCCAAGAUCGCAAAAUGUCUCUGCUGCAGAUGGCCACGGCCGAGGAGGCAAUUCAGGCCCUCAUCGACCUUCACAACUAUGACAUGGGCCGCGGCCACCGUCUGAGAGUGUCCUUCUCAAAGUCCACCAUCUGAGGACCCGCUGGUGCUCUCUUACCUUUCCUCUCUCUCCCCCAGGAGCCUCAAGUCCAGUUCAGUUUUAUUUGUACCAGUCAUUCCUUAACACCAUAUCAAAAACUUCAAUGAGAAUGGCCCUAAAGGAACACUCGCUCUCUAUCUGCUCCUGCUAUUUGUGUUUGGCCAGCUGUUAUUCUGUUUUAGGAUGGAUUGACAAAAAUGUGCCUUACUUAGCAAAAUAGCGUCAUCUUUUUUGCUCCCAUUGACACAGGUUAUAGUAGUUCAGUCACAUUACACACAGUGUGUUAUUUUUACAAUCACCUGGCUUUGUUGUUUUGAUGGUUUCUGAAAGUGAUAUUUAGCUUUUGCCCAAUGUGUUUUCAUUUGGUCUUUGAUGAAAAAAUUGAUGAAGCUUUGAAAGCUAGGCGACCUUUUUUUUAACGUCUGUUGAAUCUGAAGAUAAGUAAGCAAAUUUGAUGGAGCGUACUCCAUUUUGUAAAUGAUCUUCUGCAUUUUUUUAUUAUUUAGGGCUGUAGUAUUAUUUCGUUUUCUUUGAUCAGGCAUCCGAGGUACUUUCUGUGAUUGAAACCUGUGGUAAACAAAACACUGGCAGGGGGGAGCAUCGUGUGUGACGUGUAGUACCUGCUUUGAUAUUUCUCACUUUUGCUUCAGUGAAUUCUGUUUCCCGUUUUUUAGAUGAAAAUCCGAGCAUGUGCUGAUGGAUCUCGGCAGUUGCAUGUGUCAGAUUGACCAUGUUUGAUGUUGUGAAUUCACAUUAAUGUAGGGACUGUUGGGACCAAAGUAAAUGUGCCUUUAGUCUUACUUUAUUCUGCAUUGUACAAAAUGUUUUAUUCAACCUCGGGAAUAUUUUUAUCAACGGAGACUUUCCAACAGACAUCACUCACGUGAAAGAUCCAUAAUUGUCUUUGAUUGUGGUUUUGAUAGAGAAUCGCUCGCUGAUUCUAUUGCAAAAUUACCCUUUUUCUUCUUUUUUGUGGUUUAGACCUAAGAAACCAAUGGGAGUGGGGGUGUUCUGUACAUUUUUUACAUGAAUUGAGUUUUUACAUCUUUAGGAAUGUAAUGUUCAGUAUAGAAGCGGCACAAUUAAAAGUUCAUUUUUCUACCAAGUUUGUGCUUGACGGUCCCUGUGUGGUGUAGUGCUUUUAUCCUGUAGCAUGCUGAAUAAACUCUUCUCGCUCUGCAUUCA